rnacentral:rRNA from 1 species
GACGAACGCUGGCGGCGUGCUUAACACAUGCAAGUCGAACGGAAAGGCCCUGCUUUUGGGGGGUGCUCGAGUGGCGAACGGGUGAGUAACACGUGAGUAACCUGCCCUUGACUUUGGGAUAACUUCAGGAAACUGGGGCUAAUACCGGAUAGGAGCUCCUGCUGCAUGGUGGGGGUGGGAAAGUUUCGGCGGUUGGGGAUGGACUCGCGGCUUAUCAGCUUGUUGGUGGGGUAGUGGCUUACCAAGGCUUUGACGGGUAGCCGGCCUGAGAGGGUGACCGGCCACAUUGGGACUGAGAUACGGCCCAGACUCCUACGGGAGGCAGCAGUGGGGAAUAUUGCACAAUGGGCGGAAGCCUGAUGCAGCAACGCCGCGUGCGGGAUGACGGCCUUCGGGUUGUAAACCGCUUUCGCCUGUCACGAAGCGUGAGUGACGGUAAUGGGUAAAGAAGCACCGGCUAACUACGUG